rnacentral:rRNA from 1 species
UACGUAGGGGGCAAGCGUUGUCCGGAAUCAUUGGCGUAAGCGCGUGUAGGCGUUCAGUAAGUCUGCUGUGAAAGUCCAGGCUCAACCCUGGAUGCCGGUGGAUACUGCUGGCUAGAGUACGGAAGAGGCGAGUGGAAUUCCCGGUGUAGCGGUGAAUGCGCAGAUAUCAGGAGGAACACCGGUGGCGAAGGCGGGUCUCUGGGCCGAUACUGACGCUGAGAGCGAAGCGUGGGGAGCGAAACAGGAUUAGAACCUACCGAGUC